rnacentral:piRNA from 1 species
AUAUUUUUGCUAUCCAUGGAGUGUAAU